GACGGGGAGCACCACAACAGGUGGAGCCUGCGGUUUAAUCGGACUCAACGCCGGGAAACUCACCAGAUAAGACAGCUGAAUGAUAGUCGGGCUGAAGACUCUACUUGACUAGCUGAGAGGAGGUGCAUGGCCGUCGUCAGUUCGUACUGUGAAGCAUCCUGUUAAGUCAGGCAACGAGCGAGACCCACGCCAACAGUUGCCAGCUCGUCCUCCGGGAUGGUGGGGACACUGUUGGGACCGCCUCUGCUAAAGAGGAGGAAGGAAUGGGCAACGGUAGGUCAGCAUGCCCCGAAUUAUCUGGGCUACACGCGGGCUACAAUGGGUGGGACAAUGGGUAUCGACACCGAAAGGUGAAGGCAACCUCCUAAACCCAUCCGUAGUUCGGAUUGUGGGCUGCAACUCGCCCACAUGAGGCUGGAAUCUGUAGUAAUCGUGUCUCAAAAUGGCACGGUGAAUAUGUCCCUGCUCCUU
rnacentral:rRNA from 1 species